AUAGUGCAUAAUGUGUGUUACAUGUUAAUAUCCGGUUCAUUACAUAAAUGUGAAAUACAGAUGGGAAAAAUGAAAAUCAACCACUAUAAAAAAGAACAACUAUGACUACAGAGGGAAUGAGAGCAACAGAGUGAGAAGUGGAGCAAAGGAGAGUGGUACAAUGACUGUCUCUGUGCUUGUGCGGCUGCCAGGACAUGAGGAAUGGAGGGAGGAGAGUAGAAUUUGACCAAACAGAACCUUGUAUAUUGGCAAGAGGGAGAGAGAGAGAGAAAAUAAGAGACAGCAGACGAGUUGAAUAGGCCCUCCACAGCCCAUCUCCACCAGGCUCAGCUGCACAAGGACAGGCCUGUGCCUCAGAAGGGCGAGAAAACCAACACCACACACCUUGAAUGCUCUGCAUCAGAGCCCUUAUUGUACAGCCACUUUUCUCAGGAUACACUACACCCCCGAAGCAGGACUAAUGGAUAUUCCUGCUAUCUUUUCCUCUCUUAGCUCACUCUCUAGAGACUAUAUCUUUACCUGAAUUACGCUUUACAAAGAUCACAGAGCAGAGAGCACCA